rnacentral:rRNA from 1 species
CUGUGAGCUCGAUGAGUAGGGCGGGACACGUGGUAUCCUGUCUGAAUAUGGGGGGACCAUCCUCCAAGGCUAAAUACUCCUGACUGACCGAUAGUGAACCAGUACCGUGAGGGAAAGGCGAAAAGAACCCCGGCGAGGGGAGUGAAAAAGAACCUGAAACCGUGUACGUACAAGCAGUGGGAGCACGCUUAGGCGUGUGACUGCGUACCUUUUGUAUAAUGGGUCAGCGACUUAUAUUCUGUAGCAAGGUUAACCGAAUAGGGGAGCCGAAGGGAAACCGAGUCUUAACUGGGCGUUAAGUUGCAGGGUAUAGACCCGAAACCCGGUGAUCUAGCCAUGGGCAGGUUGAAGGUUGGGUAACACUAACUGGAGGACCGAACCGACUAAUGUUGAAAAAUUAGCGGAUGACUUGUGGCUGGGGGUGAAAGGCCAAUCAAACCGGGAGAUAGCUGGUUCUCCCCGAAAGCUAUUUAGGUAGCGCCUCGUGAAUUCAUCUCCGGGGGUAGAGCACUGUUUCGGCAAGGGGGUCAUCCCGACUUACCAACCCGAUGCAAACUGCGAAUACCGGAGAAUGUUAUCACGGGAGACACACGGCGGGUGCUAACGUCCGUCGUGAAGAGGGAAACAACCCAGACCGCCAGCUAAGGUCCCAAAGUCAUGGUUAAGUGGGAAACGAUGUGGGAAGGCCCAGACAGCCAGGAUGUUGGCUUAGAAGCAGCCAUCAUUUAAAGAAAGCGUAAUAGCUCACUGGUCGAGUCGGCCUGCGCGGAAGAUGUAACGGGGCUAAACCAUGCAC